UUAAAGACAUCAUGGACUGAAGCUAAUUCUAGUAGGAGAUUUUUUUGCUGCAGACACUAUAAGGUAUUCUCUUUCGUUGUUCAUUUUCUUCCCUUAUUUUUGAGGUUUUAAGUUUGUGAAAAUUUCUUAUUUGUGUUUUCCUCUCUGUUACAACACCGAUCCUUAACCUUUUCUCGAUUUUUCACUUAGGUCCCUAAUCUUUUCCUUUUUUUUCAAAUGGACCCCCAACUUUUUUCACGAUUUUUCAUUUGGAUCCAAACCCCCCUUUUUUGGUUUACAGAGAUACUACAGAGAUCUAGCGAGUGUGGAUAUUUUUCUUGGUAUGAUCCCCCUGUGACUUAUCGCUCUCGCCAAGUUAUUAUUGGUUUUUUGCGGAAGAGAACGGCAAUGGAGGACGAGCUGAACACUCUAAAUUAAGAAAAAGAUUAAGCGGCUAAUAUGGAUACUAAUUAUUUCUUGGAUUGUGUUUGUUGGCUGGAAUUUGAUAU
rnacentral:lncRNA from 1 species